rnacentral:rRNA from 1 species
AUUGAACGCUGGCGGCAUGCCUUACACAUGCAAGUCGAACGGUAACAGGUCUUCGGAUGCUGACGAGUGGCGAACGGGUGAGUAAUACAUCGGAACGUGCCCGAGAGUGGGGGAUAACGAGGCGAAAGCUUUGCUAAUACCGCAUACGAUCUCAGGAUGAAAGCAGGGGACCGCAAAGCCUUGCGCUCACGGAGCGGCCGAUGGCAGAUUAGGUAGUUGGAGGGAUAAAAGCUUACCAAGCCGACGAUCUGUAGCUGGGCUGAGAGGACGACCAGCCACACUGGGACUGAGACACGGCCCAGACUCCUACGGGAGGCAGCAGCGGGGAAUUUUGGACAAUGGGCGCAAGCCUGAUCCAGCCAUGCCGCGUGCAGGAUGAAGGCCUUCGGGUUGUAAACUGCUUUUGUACGGAACGAAAAGACUCCUUCUAAUAAAGGGGGUCCAUGACGGUACCGUAAGAAUAAGCACCGGCUAACUACGUGCCAGCCGCCGCCGUAAUAC